UACGGAGGGGACUAGCGUUGUUCGGAAUUACUGGGCGUAAAGCGCACGUAGGCGGAUUUGUUAGUCAGGGGUGAAAUCCCGAGGCUCAACCUCGGAACUGCCUUUGAUACUGCAAAUCUCGAGUCCGGAAGAGGUGAGUGGAAUUCCUAGUGUAGAGGUGAAAAUUCGUAGAUAUUAGGAAGAACACCAGUGGCUGAAGGCGCUCACUGGUCCGGUACUGGACGCUGAG
rnacentral:rRNA from 1 species